UUGUGCAUAUUCAGCCAUUUGUACAGUUUGUGGCUCAAAUCCCACUGUUUUUCAAGUAAGCUUCUCCUAUAUCUGCAGUGAAGUUAACGGAAUGCGUCACGGUGUAUUCGUGAUCUUCUGCGCUUUAGCGCUGUUCGUGCUCUGUGAUAUAGGAGAAGCUUACUUGAAAAACAGUGGGAAUUGAGCCACAAACUGUACAAAUGGCUGAAUAUGCACAACAAAUGUCCGACCUCACAUGUGGACCGAGGAAGUGUGAGCUAUUCGACACCAUGCCAGUGCCUUGCCACACAAUUAUGGAAGUCUGAAGAGCAGCCCUCUGGACCUUACCACACUCUCAAGAGCACGUGCCUGGCACUCGCCUACUGCCACCAGGUGGUUGAGUGCCUCCAGCAGCAGAAUGUUUUGCUGCAAAAAAAGUGGAUUGUUGGAAUGAAUGAACCGCAUAUAAACCAUUAUUUACAAAUAAAAAUGCUCAUUGCACUAUUGGUACUAAAUGCCCUUAACUGUGGAAGCCUUUAGUGUAUGCAUAAUAAAACAAUUUGUC